rnacentral:lncRNA from 1 species
GAGACAGAGUCUUGCUGUUUUGCCUAGGCUGGCCUGGAACUCCUGGGCUCAGUGGAUCCUCCUGUCUCAGCCAGGACUACACAUGUGUGAACUGGUGACUCUUAAAUCUCACCACACCCUUGUCACUCCCCUAAAGUUAUGAUCAUUUAUUGGCAGAACUAGUUGGAUCCUGAUGAAGCUCACGUCCAAUCCACUCUCCACAAUGAAAGUCAGAGCCAUCAGUAACUUGUUGAGUUACUGUCAUGUAUAAAACUUCCAAAGCUUCCCACAGCCCGUGGGUUAAAUAAUUUACCUGACAAACAGUGUUUGAUCUAAUCUGAUUCCAUAUUAUCUCUGUGAAUUUACAUCUCAUUACUCUAGAAUUAUGCUUUCCAAAAUAUGGCAGCCACAAGUCACAAGUGGUUGUUUAACACUUGAAGAGUGGAGAGUCUAAAUUGAGAUGGUGAUUUAAAUGUAAAACACACAAUGGAUUCCUAGAAUCUAGUGCAAAAUUAUAAAAACAUCAGUAAUAAUUUUUCAUACUGAUUAUAUGCUGAGAUUAUAUGAUUUUAA